rnacentral:ncRNA from 1 species
ACGAGAUAAUGGCAAACAGAUCGCGAGGUCUGGACGCAAAGUCACCAGUCUGCUGAAAUACGGGCAGAUAGUGGGACUACCUAG